rnacentral:rRNA from 1 species
CGGGUGAGUAACACGUAUCCAACCUGCCGUCUACUCUUGGACAGCCUUCUGAAAGGAAGAUUAAUACAAGAUGGCAUCAUGAGUCCGCAUGCUCACAUGAUUAAAGGUAUUCCGGUAGACGAUGGGGAUGCGUUCCAUUAGAUAGUAGGCGGGGUAACGGCCCACCUAGUCUUCGAUGGAUAGGGGUUCUGAGAGGAAGGUCCCCCACACUGGAACUGAGACACGGUCCAA